UGGGGAAUAUUGCACAAUGGGCGCAAGCCUGAUGCAGCCAUGCCGCGUGUAUGAAGAAGGCCUUCGGGUUGUAAAGUACUUUCAGCGGGGAGGAAGGCGAUAAGGUUAAUAACCUUGUCGAUUGACGUUACCCGCAGAAGAAGCACCGGCUAACUCCGUGCCAGCAGCCGCGGUAAUACGGAGGGUGCAAGCGUUAAUCGGAAUUACUGGGCGUAAAGCGCACGCAGGCGGUCUGUCAAGUCGGAUGUGAAAGCCCCGGGCUCAACCUGGGAACUGCAUUCGAAACUGGCAGGCUAGAGUCUUGUAGAGGGGGGUAGAAUUCCAGGUGUAGCGGUGAAAUGCGUAGAGAUCUGGAGGAAUACCGGUGGCGAAGGCGGCCCCCUGGACAAAGACUGACGCUCAGGUGCGAAAGCGUGGGGAGCAAACA
rnacentral:rRNA from 1 species